rnacentral:rRNA from 1 species
GUCUUUUUGUAUUUAAUAAUAAGUCUAGCCUGCCCAAUGUAUUAUGAAUGGCCGCGGUAUUUUGACCGUGCGAAGGUAGCAUAAUAAAUAGUCCAUUAAUUGUGGUCUGGAAUGAAUGGUUUUACGGGGAGCAGCUUUUUUUGUUUUAUUUAUGAAUUUUAAUUGUCGGUGAAAAUGCUGAUAUAUGGCAGGAGGACGAGAAGACCCUAUAGAGCUUUACAUUAAACUAUUAGAGGUGGAAUUUUUAUUAUAAUGUUUUGUUGGGGCGACAAUAAGUGAGAAGCAUUUAUUAAUAUGUCUAAAUAAUAGGAUUAUUUGACCCAUUAGGAGUGAUUUAAGACUAAGUUACCUUAGGGAUAACAGCGUAAUCUCAUUUUAGAGUUCUUAUCGAUAAUGAGGAUUGCGACCUCGAUGUUGGAUUAAAAUACCUAUAGGGCGUAGUAGUUUUAUAAGGUAGCCUGUUCGGCUAUUAAAAUUUUACA